rnacentral:rRNA from 1 species
CCUGAUGCCGAGCCGAUUGUGGUGAAGUGGAUGAUCCUAUGCUGUCGAGAAAAGCCUCUAGCGAGUUUCAUGGCGGCCCGUACCCUAAACCGACUCAGGUGGUCAGGUAGAGAAUACCGAGGCGUUCGGGUGAACUAUGGUUAAGGAACUCGGCAAAAUGCCCCCGUAACUUCGGGAGAAGGGGGGCCAUUGCUGGUGAUGAGGUUUUCCCUCUGAGCUGGUGGUGGCCGCAGAGACCAGCGAGAAGCGACUGUUUACUAAAAACACAGGUCCGUGCGAAGCCGUAAGGCGAUGUAUACGGACUGACGCCUGCCCGGUGCUGGAACGUUAAGGGGACCGGUUAGCUGACCUUCGGGUCGGCGAAGCUGAGAACUUAAGCGCCAGUAAACGGCGGUGGUAACUAUAACCAUCCUAAGGUAGCGAAAUUCCUUGUCGGGUAAGUUCCGACCUGCACGAAUGGCGUAACGACUUCUCGACUGUCUCAACCAUAGGCCCGGUGAAAUUGCACUACGAGUAAAGAUGCUCGUUUCGCGCAGCAGGACGGAAAGACCCCGGGACCUUUACUAUAGCUUGAUAUUGGUGUUCGGUUCGGCUUGUGUAGGAUAGGUGGGAGACUGUGAACCCUGGACGCCAGUUCAGGGGGAGUCAUUGUUGAAAUACCACUCUGGUCGUGCUGGAUGUCUAACCUGGGUCCGUGAUCCGGAUCAGGGACAGUGUCUGGUGGGUAGUUUAACUGGGGCGGUUGCCUCCCAAAGGGUAACGGAGGCGCCCAAAGGUUCCCUCAGCCUGGUUGGCAAUCAGGUGUUGAGUGUAAGUGCACAAGGGAGCUUGACUGUGAGACUGACGGGUCGAGCAGGGACGAAAGUCGGGACUAGUGAUCCGGCGGUGGCUUGUGGAAGCGCCGUCGCUCAACGGAUAAAAGGUACCCCGGGGAUAACAGGCUGAUCUUCCCCAAGAGUCCAUAUCGACGGGAUGGUUUGGCACCUCGAUGUCGGCUCGUCGCAUCCUGGGGCUGGAGUCGGUCCCAAGGGUUGGGCUGUUCGCCCAUUAAAGCGGUACGCGAGCUGGGUUUAGAACGUCGUGAGACAGUUCGGUCCCUAUCCGCUGUGCGCGUAGGAGUAUUGAGAAGGGCUGUCCCUAGUACGAGAGGACCGGGACGGACGAACCUCUGGUGUGCCAGUUGUCCUGCCAAGGGCAUGGCUGGUUGGCUACGUUCGGGAGGGAUAACCGCUGAAAGCAUCUAAGCGGGAAGCCUGCUUCGAGAUGAGUGCUCCCACCUCCUUGAGAGGGUAAGGCUCCCAGUAGACGACUGGGUUGAUAGGCCAGAUAUGGAAGCCCGGUAACGGGUGGAGUUGACUGGUACUAAUAGGCCGAGGGCUUGUCCUCAGUUG